GGCUCAAUGGUCUAGUGGUAUGAUUCGUGCUUCGGGAUCUUUUCUAAAAGUCCCACAGCCUUCCUCAAAAAGGCUGGAAAUUGUGCGAGGUCUCGGGUUCGAUCCCCGAUUGAGCCC